CUCAGUCUGUCCCUCUCUCACACUCCUGAUUUCCCUCCCUCUCUCUCUCUCUCUCUCUCUCUCUCUGUAACUCCUUCGCUCCUCUCAUCCUCCUGUGACUUAGUUUGCUGUGCGCAACAACUGGCAGACCUCUCUCCUCAUCUCCGUUGCUCGGGAGGGGAUCCUGCACGUUUGGGCACAUGGUCUUACGGCGGUGACAGAUCCGCGGCACAACAACCUGAAGGGACAGAGGCAAGGCAUCCUCAGCCUUCCCCGUCACUGCCGGAUCAAGGCAACGGACAAAUGGGCGGCUUUGUGCUCAGCGGGUGCCACUCUGUAGAGAUCUCUAGGAUUUGGCCUGAAUGUUUGCGAGCGACUCUGCCCCCAGAAGCCGGGCUAGACCGAGGACAGGACGUGAGGUCUGUGAGCACCCUAUCCCAGGUAAGAUGAUCCCCCUCACCAUCUGUCUCUCCACAUAACUAGUUAAACCCAGGAAGGGAAGCGUUUUACAUGCAAUGUCCUCCCUCUCCUGCUACAAAUGCAAAGUGUGUUCAUUUCUGUCUGCAGAUGCAACCUUUGACGGGGGCCUUGCCUUGUGAUAAAGGGCAUCUUCAAUCAAUUCCCCUAGAGAGAAAACUCUGCUUUGGCCUAUGCCACUGUGGAUGGGUGAAAGUCAGGCGAAGCCCCCUUUUUCUAAGGCUCUCUUCGGUGACGGGUAUUCUUGGGUGGAUAAUACGGCUCUCGUUGUUAUUGCUUAAGAAUACGCGUAGUUGAGGAGAGUCAUUGUCAACUGUCUUCGGGGAGAUAACCUCCACUGGUCCCAAAAAAACUUCUGGCUUUGCACUGUGGCCGUUUAUGUAGCUAAACUAGACAGCUAAUUAUUUUCUCUGUGGUUUGUUUGAUUUCUGCAACAGGAGACAGGCAGCUCUUGGUCUCAUUGGAUUGUCUCCACCUACAUUGGCAAAGCGCCGCUUUAUGCACCGCUAUCCAAUGAGUGGCAUUUUGCAUUUCACACGACUUGUUUUAAUUUUUUUUAUCUGAGUGUGGGUGCGAGGGGCAGAUUAUUGGGAAUGGCUUAUUUUGGCUCUCUUCAGGGAGUGUUUUAGUGUACACAUGCCUGCUCGCCUGGCUGAUAGGAAUGCAUUUACUGCUCUUUAUUAUUAGUCCUUUGCACCAGCAGGAGCCCCGGACUGCAUGGGGUGUUCACACAGAU